rnacentral:rRNA from 1 species
GAUGAACGCUGGCGGCGUGCCUAAUACAUGCAGGUCGAGCGAACAGACGAGGAGCUUGCUCCUCUGAUGUUAGCGGCGGGCGGGUGAGUAACACGUGGAUAACCUACCUAUAAGACUGGGAUAACUUCGGGAAACCGGAGCUAAUACCGGAUAACAUGUUGAACCGCAUGGUUCAACAGUGAAAGACGGUCUUGCUGACACUUAUAGAUGGAUCCGCGCCGCAUUAGCUAGUUGGUAAGGUAACGGCUUACCAAGGCAACGAUGCGUAGCCGACCUGAGAGGGUGAGCGGCAAAACUGGAAAUGAGAAACGGUCCAGGCUCCUACGGGAGGCAGCAGGGGGGAAUAUUGGACAAUGGGAGAAAGCUUGAUGGAGAAAUGCAGCGUGAGGGAAGAAGGUCUUCGGAUGGUAAAGCGCGUUAAGUUGGGAAGAAGGACAGGAAGUGAAAAGAUGGCCGUCUGGACGGUACCAAAAGAAAAAGCAACGGCUAACUUCGUG